rnacentral:rRNA from 1 species
GAUGGACGCUGGCGGCGUGCCUAAUACAUGCAAGUCGAGCGAACAGAUGAGGAGCUUGCUCCUCUGACGUUAGCGGCGGACGGGUGAGUAACACGUGGAUAACCUACCUAUAAGACUGGGAUAACUACGGGAAACCGGAGCUAAUACCGGAUAAUAUAUUGAACCGCAUGGUUCAAUAGUGAAAGACGGUUUUGCUGUCACUUAUAGAUGGAUCCGCGCCGCAUUAGCUAGUUGGUAAGGUAACGGCUUACCAAGGCAACGAUGCGUAGCCGACCUGAGAGGGGGAUCGGCCACACUGGAACUGAGACACGGUCCAGACUCCUACGGGAGGCAGCAGUAGGGAAUCUUCCGCAAUGGGCGAAAGCAUGACGGAGCAACGCCGCGUGAGUGAUGAAGGCCUUCGGAUCGUAAAACUCUGUUAUUAGGGAAGAACAAAUGUGUAAGUAACUAUGCACGUCUUGACGGUACCUAAUCAGAAAGCCACGGCUAACUACGUG